ACUCCUACGGGAGGCAGCAGUGGGGAAUAUUGCACAAUGGGCGCAAGCCUGAUGCAGCCAUGCCGCGUGUAUGAAGAAGGCCUUCGGGUUGUAAAGUACUUUCAGCGGGGAGGAAGGCGAUAAGGUUAAUAACCUUGUUGAUUGACGUUACCCGCAGAAGAAGCACCGGCUAACUCCGUGCCAGCAGCCGCGGUAAUACGGAGGGUGCAAGCGUUAAUCGGAAUUACUGGGCGUAAAGCGCACGCAGGCGGUCUGUCAAGUCGGAUGUGAAAUCCCCGGGCUCAACCUGGGAACUGCAUUCGAAACUGGCAGGCUAGAGUCUUGUAGAGGGGGGUAGAAUUCCAGGUGUAGCGGUGAAAUGCGUAGAGAUCUGGAGGAAUACCGGUGGCGAAGGCGGCCCCCUGGACAAAGACUGACGCUCAGGUGCGAAAGCGUGGGGAGCAAACAGGAUUAGAUACCCCAGUAGUCCC
rnacentral:rRNA from 1 species